UAAUUUUCAGCAGCUUUCAAUUAGAAAACAAAUCAUGCACUAACACAUAUGUAGGUCAUAGAUCUAAGGGUUUGUUCUACAGGAAAUUCUAUUUGGUUGUGUCUUACAACCUUAUAUGUAAGAAUAUAUAAAACAUUCUAAGAAAAACUCGUUUUGUUCAUUGUGAAUAGUUUCUGAUGUUUGGAGCGGUGUUUAAGCACUAUCAGGUGAAUCUCUGCACCCUCUGCCUGCUUUUUCACCAGUGACGGAUAUCAGUCAAUCCAACAGAUGAGGUCAGCUUGUUUAAUUCACCCACACUGCAUCCUGGGAAAUGAAUAUUCAGCACUCUGACGAUGGAGCUUUGCUGUUGAUGCACUCUGCAGACAUCAGCCAGUGGCAGUUUCACCAACCUGUCAGGAUCUGGAGUCAUCUGCUGCCUGCUGCUAACACCUUUCCAACACUAGGUGCCGCCAGUAGGAGAGUCCUGAGGCGACAGGUGUUGCGCAUCUAUUCAUCAGCUGAGAAGCAUAAAGAGGAUGGUUGCCAACACUUUGUCGCCUGAGUGUUUUGCCUCCGUGGUGCGAUUUCUGCCUGACCUGUCCCAGUCCUCCAUUGUGGUACUGGCUAUUUCCUGGAAUUGGACUGAACCUGGCAAGCGGGGCUUCUUUCCUGACUCUUAUCCUCUCCCUGGCGGUCUCCAUGACGGGAGAUUAGAUUCACCGCUUCUGUUGUGCUUGACCAAGUUUUCAAUAAACUUCUUUAUUUAACAAGUUCUCUGAGUGUCUCUGCAUGUGGGUUAAGUCGGCUGUAAAAAUCAUGACAGAACACUCAGGCCAGCCUAACCCAGUGGAGACCCUUCAGGUCCCAUUCGAGUAUCACGACCUCAAAAUGGUUUUUAGUAAAUCUCGGGCUCUGUCUCUGCCGCCUCAUCGAUCGUACGACUGCGCCAUUAACCUCCUCCCAGGUGCUCCUUUGCCUUCCAGUCGGCUCUAUAGCAUCUCUGGGCCGGAGAGAAGGGUAAUGGAUAAAUAUAUUGCGGAGUCUUUAGCCGUGGGAAUUAUCCAUCCUUCUUCAUCUCCUUUAGGGGCGGGGUUUUUUUUUGUGGGGAAAAAGGACAGAGGUUUACGCCCCUGUAUAGACUAUAGGGGUUUGAAUUCAAUUACAGUAAAGAAUAAAUAUCCUCUUCCUUUGUUAGCUUCUGCGUUUGAGCCUAUACAUGGCGCUGUUGUUUUCUCUAAGCUGGACCUCAGAAAUGCCUACCACUUAGUCAGAAUCCGCCAGGGAAAUGAGUGGAAGACGGCAUUCAAGACUCCCCUGGGAGAUUUUGAAUAUCUAGUUAUGCCUUUCAGCCUAAGUAAUGCCCCAGCAGUUUUUCAGGCACUCGUUGAGAGAUUGUUUGAAUAUUUUUGUAUUUGUAUACCUGGACGACAUUUAGAUUUUUUCCAGAAGUCUCGAGGAACACCGCCACCAUGUUAGACAGGUCCUACAGCGCCUCCUCGAGAACAGACUGUAUGUUAAAGUGGAGAAGUGCGACUUCCAUCAGUCGACCGUCAGCUUCCUGGGGUUCGUGUCGGAGGAGAGACAGGUUCGCGCUGAUCCAGGGAAGGUUCAAGCAGUGAUGGACUAGCCAGUAACUGAUUCCCGGAGGAAGUUGCAGCAGUUCUUGGGGUUCGCCAACUUCUACUGAAGGUUUAUUAGAAAUUACAGCCAGAUGGCGACCCCAUUAACUGCGCUAACUUCCACCAAGACGACCUUCAGCUGGGGACCGGAGGCCGAGACCGCCUUCACCCGACUGAAGAGGCUGUUCUUUCAGGCGUCGGUUCUGAUUCAUCCUGACUCUACAAGGCAGUUUACACUGGAGGUAGACGCCUCGGAUACCGGGGUGGGAGCGGUUCUCUCCCAGCUCUCAGACCGAUAUGGAAGGCUUCACCCCUGCGCCUUUUUCUCCCGUCGGCUGACCCCUGCUGAACGGAACUAUCAGGUUGGAGACAGGGAGCUGCUGGCCAUUAAGUUGGCCCUAGAGGAGUGGAGGCAUUGGCUGGAGGGUGCCGAACACCCCAUGUUGGUCUGGACAGACCAUAAAAAUUUGUCGUACAUCCAGUCAGCUAAGCGUCUUAAUGCACGUCAAUCACGUUGGUCACUUUUCUUUUCCCGAUUUAAUCUGUCUAUUUCCUUUAGGCCAGGAUCCAAGAACCUCAAACCUGACGCUCUGUACCACCAAUUCGGACCUGAAGAUUCAGAAAAAAAGGCAGAGUCGAUCCUGCCACCAAGUUGUACAGUGGGCUCGUUAACCUGGGAGAUAGAGGACCUGGUGCGGCGAGCCCUCCCUGAUGAUCCUGGGCCAGGAACUGGACCCCCUGGAAGGACCUACGUUCCAGCUUCAGUGCGAUCCAGAUUGAUCGGCUGGUUCCAUUCGGCCAAGUUCUCCGCCCACCCUGGUGUCAGUAGGACCAUCGCCGCAAUUUCCAGAAAUUAUUGGUGACCGUCGCCUCACAGAGACGCUAGGGAGUAUGUGAAUGCCUGCGCCACAUGCGCUAGAAGCAAGUCCUCAAAUCGACCUUCCGCAGGUUUGCUCCAGCCUCUCAGCAUCCCCGGCCGACCCUGGUCCCAUGUGGCCUUGGACUUCGUCAUGGGCCUACCACGUUCUCAAGGGAUGACCGUAAUUAUGACCAUUAUCGACCGGUUCUCCAAGGCCUGCCACCUGGUUCCUCUCAAAAAGCUGCCAUCAGCCCUCCAAACAGCUAGAUUGAUGGUCAAACAUGUUUUCCGCCUGCAUGGCAUCCCCAGUGACCUGUUGUCCAACAGGGGGCCUCAGUUUACUUCCCGUGUCUGGAGACAUUUCUGUGACGCCUUGGGGGUGAAGGUGGCGCUAACCUCUGGUCAUCACCCCCAGUCUAAUGGCCAGGUGGUGUUUUGCCUCCGUGGUGCGAUUUCUGCCUGUCCUGUCCCAGUCCUCCAUUGUGGUACUGGCUAUUUCCUGGAAUUGGACUGAACCUGGCAAGCGGGCUUCUUUCCUGACUCUGAUCCUCUCCCUGGCGGUUUCCCUGGAGUCUCCAUGACGGGAGAUUAGAUCCGCCGCUUCUGUUGUGCUUGACCAAGUUUUCAAUAAACUUCUUU